rnacentral:rRNA from 1 species
CAAUAGCGUAUAUUAAAGUUGUUGCGGUUAAAAGCUCGUAGUUGGAGUUCUGCCAGGUGCCGCCUGUCCGCCCCAGUGGUGAGUACGUGGCGCGCAUUUGGCCCUUUCAAGGGGAGCGUAUCUGCACUUUAUUGUGUGGUGCGGGAUCCUUGACUUUUACUUUGAGGAAAUAGGAGUGUUCCAAGCAGGCUCUCGUCGUGCACAGCUCAGCAUGGAAUAAUAGCAUUGGACCUCGAUUCUAAGCUGUUGGUUGCCAGAAGCGAGGUAAUGAUGAAGAGGGAUAGUUGGGGGCAUUCGUAUUUAACUGUCAGAGGUGAAAUUCUUGGAUUUGUUAAAGAACGGACGUACUGCGAAGACAUCUGCCAUGGAGUGUUUUCUAUUGUAUCAAGAACGAAAGUUAAGGGGUAGUCG